AUGCUUCUGGAUGCAUCUGAAUGCAUCUGGAUAUAUCUGGAUGCAAAUUAAUUGAAAGAAUAUGGCGGACCGUGAGUUGAAAUCAUUCACGAGCUGUUUUAGGUGGUGAUUUCUGAGAGUUCAUGGGAUGAUGGAUCUUAUUAACGUGGCUGAUGAGACAUCCAUAUAUUGAUGUUCCCAUGAGCAGCAACAAGCGGCCGUUCUUCUGAUAUAUGAAGCUA